UAGUCCUAGCCGUAAACGGUGCACAUUUGCUGUGGGCGGAUUCGACCCCGUCCGUGGCGUAGCUAACGCGAUAAAUGUGCCGCCUGGGGAGUACGGCCGCAAGGUUAAAACUCAAAGAAAUUGACGGGGGCCUGCACAAGCGGUGGAGUAUGUGGCUUAAUUCGAUGCAACGCGAAGAACCUUACCUGGCUUUGACAUGCAAGUGGUAGGAACCUGAAAGGGUAACGACCUCGCAAGAGGAGCUUGCACAGGUGCUGCAUGGCUGUCGUCAGCUCGUGUCGUGAGAUGUUGGGUUAAGUCCCGCAACGAGCGCAACCCUUGUGUCCUGUUGCCACUCCGGUUUCGGCCGGAAGCACUCUGGACAGACUGCCUCGCUUAAACGAGGAGGAAGGUGGGGAUGACGUCAAGUCAGUAUGGCCCUUACGGCCAGGGCUGCACACGUACUACAAUGCCCGGCACAGAGGGAAGCAAGACCGCAAGGUGGAGCUAAUCCCUAAAAACCGGGCCCAGUUCGGAUU
rnacentral:rRNA from 1 species